AUUGAACGCUGGCGGCAGGCUUAACACAUGCAAGUCGAACGAGUGGCGGACGGGUGAGUAAUGUCUGGGAAACUGCACGUUGGAGGGGGAUAACUACUGGAAACGGUAGCUAAUACCGCAUACCAUCGGAUGUGCCAAGAUUUGAUUAGCUUGUAGGUGAGGUAACGGCUCACCUAGGCGACGAUCCCUAGCUGGUCUGAGAGGAUGACCAGCCACACUGUAACUGGGACACGGUCCAGACUCCUACGGGAGGCAGCAGUUGGGAAUAUUGCUCAAGGGGCGCAGGCCUGAUGCAGCCAUGCCGCGUGUAUGAAGAAGGCCUUCGGGUUGUAAAGUACUUUGAGCAGGGAGGCGUUACCCGCAGAAGAAGCACCGGCUAACUCCGUGCCAGCAGCCGCGGUAAUUC
rnacentral:rRNA from 1 species